UUUUAUAGUUAUAUUAGUCGUUAGGCAUUUUAAGCUCUAGAAAUCAAGUAACAUGAUGUUGUACUUUGAGAGUUUUGUUUUUUUGUUGUUGAUCGAUCCCACUGAUUCUUGAAUCUAUUAGGGGCGUGCAAGAGGCCAGAGUCCUUCGAGUCAUCAUCAAGAAGAGAGGGGACCCUAUCUUGCCCGAAAAAGAAACAUUACAUCAUAUUAGAAGACAAAAAAAGCCGAAGUCCCAACAAAUUCCCCAAAAGUCUCAAGAAACCCAUCAACCAGCUGCCCCGACAGGCCACCCACUCAUUCAUUCACUAAUAUAUAAAGAAGCAGCUGCAGAAAGUGGAGAAAUCCACCAAGCAAUCAACAUUUAUUUCAAGAAAACCAUGCAUCAAAGUUCCUGUUGCUUGCCAACAGUAGUAGUGGAUCAUAUCAGAUCAGCUGCAACAUCCAAUCCAGUACCCAAAAAAAAAAAAAAAAAAAA